ACUGGCAGGCAGCUCCAGAUGUAGCCCCCGUGCGGGAUCCACUGGGUGAAGCCAGCUGGGCUCCUGAGUCAGGUGGAGACGUGGAGAACCUUUAUGUCUAGCUCAGGGAUGGUAAACACACCAAUCAGCGCCCUGUCAAAACAGACCACUGGGCUCUACCAAUCAGCAGGACGUGGGUGGGGCCAGAUAAGAGAAUAAAAGCAGGCUGCCCGAGCCAGCAGUGACAACCCGCUCGGGUCCCCUUUUACCCUGUGGGAGCUUUGUUCUUUCGCUCUUUGCAAUAAACCUUGCUGCUGCUCACUCUUUGGGUCCACACUGCUUUUAUGAGCUGUAACACUCACCGCGAAGGUCUGCAGCUUCACUCCUGAAGCCAGCGAGACCACGAGCCCACCGGGCGGAACGAACAACUCCAGACGUGCUGCGUUAAGAGCUGUAACACUCAGUGCGAAGGUCUGCAGCUUCACUCCUGAGCCAGCGAGACCACGAACCCACCAGAAGGAAGAAACUCUGAACACAUCCGAACAUCAGAAGGAAAAAACUCUGAACACCGCCUUUAGAACUGUAACACUCACCGCCAGGGUCUGCGGCUUCAUUCUUGAAGUCAGUGAGACCAAGAACCCACCAAUUCCGGACACAUAAGCAAGGAAAAGGAAACAGUUUAUGAUUUGGGCUGCCCUAAGAAUUAAAACAGAUUUGGAGAGACUCCAGGGCUGUGGCAUGGCCAGAUAAGAUUUAUGGACAGAAAAAGGAGAGUGAUGUACAGAAAACAGAAGUGAGGGAAGCUAUUGAUGUGAGGAAUUUGAAGGUUUCUGGAGGAAGAAGGGUUUGGAAAAUUUGAAGUGAACCUCUUUUGGGAAUUAAAAAGAACAUCAGAAGAACAAUAUAAUAAUAUGAAGAAUUUGAACAACCUAUCAACAAGCUUGAUUUCAUGGGCACACAUAGAACUGUAUUUCCAACAAUCAGAGGAUACACAUUAUUUUCUACUAUAUCUGAAGCUUUAAAUACUAGAGUUUUAUUUAUUUCAAAGAAUGUUAUACAGAUCUCAGUAUUAUUAAGAUAGAAAUAAAUUAAGCAAUGAAUUUCACAGUCUUCAUCCAUUUGGUAAUGGAUAACAAAUAUUUAGAGCUGACUAAUAAUAAAAUUAACAUAAAAUAAAACCAAGAAUAUUGAAUCUUUUGAAGGGGUAUGUGUGUGUCCUUUAAUGCUUAAAAUACAAAAAGUCUGAAAAUUAAUUUGCUGGUCAUUCAACUUAAGAUUUUACACAAAGAAUUAGUAAAAUAAAUUCAAGGAAAAUAGAAUAAAAGAUAAUAAAUAGGAUAAAUUAAUGAAAUAGAAAACAUACAAUGAAGAGAAGAAAGAAAGAAGAGACAAGUAAUACAUAUAAUCCUGUGGCAGAAUUUACUAAGUCACAAAGACAAAGCCAAAGUAAAAUAAUAUUAUGCAUAAUUUUUAACAAAAAAUGUGAAACAGAGAAAAUGUAUAGAUUUGUAGAAAAAUUAAAACCUAUUAAAACUGACUCAAUAAGAAAUGGAAAUUCAGAUUAGUAAUUUUAAACCUCCCCAUAUUAAAAAUAGUAAGCUAAAUUUUAUCAAUGAAUUCUUUAAAUUUUUAAG